rnacentral:lncRNA from 1 species
GACGGACAGGCGGACGGACAGACGGAUGGACGUGCCCGCUGUCCUCGCCGUGCUCGGCCCCGAGGAGGGGGCAGGGGGGUGCGGAGCGGCCGAGACGGGAGCCCCCGGAGCAGGCGGCGAUCGCCGUCUGCUGGCUGCCGCCGAGCCUCCCGCAGCCCCCUCCCCGGCCCGGGUGGGGGGGAUCCGGGGAAAUGCCCCGGGAGGGGCCCUCUGUCUGCGUGUCCCCCCUCAAGUGGGGCUCGUCCCUCGCUGAUCCUCCUCAGAAACACGCGUGGGAACGGCCUGCGGCUCCUGCAGCCCCACGGGGCCAGCCCCAGCCCGCAGCCCUCGCGGGGAUGCCCGGGGGUGCCCCGUCCUGCCCGGGGGUUUGGGGGCUCGGGGCCCACGGUGCUGAGCACGGGGGGAAAGGUGUGUGAGCGGAGCCCCGCUCCCUUUUCCAGCACUGCCAACUGCUCCGAGGGAUGCUGCGGCCCCGGUCCCAACUCAAACACGGGCUCUCCUUGUGUUUUGUUGUCUCUUCCCCAGCUUGCAGGGUAAAAGCGUUUGGAGAAUCUCUGGAGCUUUCGAGUAGGGGCUCACCCUGUGAACGGUACUCACACAUAUAAUUCAAAUUUCACAGCUGACCUGCUCUGAAAACCUCAAUCAGCUUCUAAUUGAAGGGAAAACAAAAUAUUGCUUCCCUACAGCAGAGCUAACGAUUUAAUCAUUAUAUCAGACAUUAUAGCUUUUAAUUAGGCUAAUGCUGAUACUGUAUGGAAAGAGAUAAUUCAACACAGUUCUUGAUGAAUUCUGUAAUUGGGUUAACGGAGGAGCAGUUGGGGGAAGAGACGUCAAUAUUCAAGCUGCGUCUAUAGCCACCAGGUUUAUGAAUGGAAGGCAAGGGGGGAAAAGGGAAAGGGAGGGGGAGGAAAGGGCUAAAAUUCCCCGACGAGAAAUGUCUCCCCCUUCGCCCAGGAGAGCUGUGCCAACCAACGGGAAGCCUGAGAAGGGUAAGGGCCGUCCUGCCGCCCCGGGCUGUCGCGACAGCGGCGCGACAUCACCGCGGGACCUCGCUGCGGCUCCCCGCGGGGCAGCUCCCGGGCCCCUUUCCGUGGGUCUCCCCCCUUUCCCCCUCACGGCCGCGGCGACAACACGAGGGGAAGGGGCCACCCGGGCCACCGGCGUCGUGCCCUGCCGGUUUGCCCAGGGCAAGACCGGGGGCAGCGGGGAAAGGGGCAAACGGCGAGGGAUGGCUACGAGACGGGGCCGCAACGCUUCCUAGAAGCCGCGGGGAGCAGGCAGGCGCACGCACGGAACAUGGGCUGAGCAGAAGGCAAAACACCUAGCGGGAGGAGAAGGUUUGCGGUGUCUGGGUUUUGGGGUCUGGGUUUUGUACCUAAAGGGACGGCCAGAGCUUGUACUUUUUACAAGAUGGGUUAAUCGAGAGUUCACGAUAAUAAUAAUAAUAAUCGUAAUCAUUAUCUGCCCAUUGAUUUUCUUUCUAGCAUAAGGAAAAUAUUUCGAAAGUACACUUUCGAAGUGGUAAACUUCUAAGGGGAAAAAACAAGAACUACGGGAACGGAGGGCUCAUCGGACUGGUACGACACGGGAGUUAUUAUGAAGUUGAUCUUUAAAAUUGCUCCGUUGAAAUGGCAGUCACGAAACCUCGGGAAACAGCUUCACAAGGCGAAGUGCCAUUUGCAGCAGGGCAACCUGGCAAGCCAUGGCGCAUCGCCUGGAGAAGCGGGCUCUAGGACCACAUAUAAAGGAAAUCUUUCUGUUUUGCAUCCCCGAAUUGCAAAAGCUUCUUUCAGGGCAAGUCAGAAAGAAUUUGCGUAAAAAAAAUAAAUGAGGAAAGAAAGAAAUGAAAUCAUAUAGAAGCUUUUUUUUUUUUUUUUUUUUUUUUUUUUUUCUUGCAGGCCAUCCUGUUAUUGCAAAUUAGAUUAGCUACACAGGCUUCAAUAUAAACAUGACAUGAGGUUCACAGGAGAGCGAAAGUAUCAUCCACUCCAAUCUCUCCUUUCAUCGAAACAUCCCACAUAAAUUACAUCUUCUCCUUUAAUACACUUUUCAAUGAGAUUAAAACAUCACCUUGACACGAUUUCAAACCUUUUCAGUCGCAUCCAGUGCUUACUUCAGAAAACAGCAAACAAGGGGAAAGCUAGAAAGAUCUAAAUAUUCUCUGGCUGCUAUUCUGGAAAUUAAAAGUACUUAGAGGGAAUAAAUGAUCCUCUUGCUCCAUCCAGUGCAGCGCUGUGGCCAGGGGAAGGCGUAAAACGAACCCCAGGGAAGCAAAGAGGAAAACCUGCUUUCCUUCCCCCAGCUGUACUCGGCUACCUAGCUGGAGCCAGGUUACAGGUUAUUUACCUUUGGGAAAAGAGGUGAUUUUCACAGAUCUGUGUAAGGCAGGGUGGCAGCACAACUACUGAUGCCUUUAGCAAAUGAACCUUUUAUGGGGCUAUCGCUGGUAAACCUGAAAAAGAUGCUGGUGCGGGCAGGGCAGGGCAGCCCAUUCAGAGACUGCCCGGUUUAGGGAACCACUCGCAACUUUCUGGGUGUGCUGCGCAGCCCACCCCCCGCCCCACAGACGCAGGAGGACCCCCAAGCACAUCCCAAAUCCUCUCCUGGCAGCAGCUGAACCCGUCCAGGUGUCACCAGCAGCUCCCCCGCCGCCGGACCCGGCGAGACCCUGCUCUGCGGGGCACGCGUGAACUUUUGCCAUGGGGUCUGCGGGGAGCCCCCGGAACCCCCCAAGCGCUGCCCCCCGUUAGGAUCUCGGUGCUGCGGGGCUCGGUGAGCAAGCAAACGAGAAAAAGGUGGUUUGGCACGUUACCCGCCCGCGAGAUACUGUACAUUUGGGGACAAUUUGCACCCCCCCAUCCCCAGCCAUCCAUCCACGCACACACCCCUUAACAAAGAGUCUUUCAAACCACCACCUUUUAUGGCAGCCUGCGGGAAUCAAUGCGAUAAAACGGGUUUUUAAUGGGUUAAUUGACUGGAGCCGCUAUCAUGUUUAAACACCUGUUUCUGGAAAGAGAUUCAGCCAAAACCCGUCCCCUCCCUGAUCGAUAGAUGCACAGCCUUGCUCCAUUGCCUGUUGAUCGACCCCAAACACCACCGGCAAAUAAGAGAGAAAAAAAAAUAAUCCAUUUCUCCUCUUAAACAUCCCGAUACUUUAUGGUACGGGGAAGCUGCCCGGGCACCUAGGAGCUGGGGAGGGCACAACCCCGGGGAGGACCUCCCCGGACAGCCCCAGCCCAGAGUUCCUUUAGCCGGGACUUCACUGCCCGAGCCUGGGCAAAGUCCCCCCACCGAGAGCCCCCGGCAGCUGUCACCUUCGCGGGGGACAGGACCGGGGAUCCCCCUGGUCCCUGGGAAGAUGGAGCCGGGCUCAGCCCGGCCGCAUUAGCAAUGCUAAGAGCCCAUGUGAAUGCUCACUCCGAGGGGCAGAGAUUAAGCAGGCAUUAGUUGUAAUAGCCGAGGGCUGCUCUGCCUAUUGAUUUUCCUUUUUUUUUUUUUUUUUUUUUGGCAGUAUUAAUAUAGCCGAGAGCGUCGGUCAACCGCAGCGAAACUGAUCCUUUGCCCAAAAC